CAGGCGGGGUAACGGCCCACCUGGCCGACGAUCAGUAGGGGUUCUGAGAGGAAGGUCCCCCACAUUGGAACUGAGACACGGUCCAAACUCCUACGGGAGGCAGCAGUGAGGAAUAUUGGUCAAUGGGCGAGAGCCUGAACCAGCCAAGUAGCGUGCAGGAUGACGGCCCUAUGGGUUGUAAACUGCUUUUAUGCGGGGAUAAAGUUCACUACGUGUAGUGUUUUGUAGGUACCGCAUGAAUAAGGACCGGCUAAUUCCGUGCCAGCAGCCGCGGUAAUACGGAAGGUCCGGGCGUUAUCCGGAUUUAUUGGGUUUAAAGGGAGCGCAGGCCGGAGGUCAAGCGUGACGUGAAAUGUAGCCGCUCAACGGCUGAACUGCGUCGCGAACUGGCUUUCUUGAGUGAGUUCGAUGUGGGCGGAAUUCGUGGUGUAGCGGUGAAAUGCUUAGAUAUCACGAAGAACUCCGAUUGCGAAGGCAGCCCACAAGGCCUUUACUGACGCUAAAGCUCGAAGGUGCGGGUAUCGAACAGGAUUAGAUACCCUGGUAGUCCGCACGGUAAACGAUGGAUGCCCGCUGUUUGCGAUAUACUGUGAGCGGCCAAGAGAAAUCGUUAAGCAUCCCACCUGGGGAGUACGCCGGCAACGGUGAAACUCAAAGGAAUUGACGGGGGCCCGCACAAGCGGAGGAACAUGUGGUUUAAUUCGAUGAUACGCGAGGAACCUUACCCGGGCUUGAACUGCAGGAGAAGGAUACAGAGAUGUUGACGCCCUUCGGGGCUCCUGUGGAGGUGCUGCAUGGUUGUCGUCAGCUCGUGCCGUGAGGUGUCGGCUUAAGUGCCAUAACGAGCGCAACCCUUUUCUUCAGUUGCCAUCAGGUGAUGCUGGGCACUCUGGAGACACUGCCACCGUAAGGUGUGAGGAAGGUGGGGAUGACGUCAAAUCAGCACGGCCCUUACGUCCGGGGCUACACACGUGUUACAAUGGGUGGUACAGAGAGUCGGUCGUCUGCAAAUGCGAUCUAAUCAUGAAAGCCAUCCUCAGUUCGGAUUGGGGUCUGCAACCCGACCCCAUGAAGCUGGAUUCGCUAGUAAUCGCGCAUCAGCCAUGGCGCGGUGAAUACGUUCCCGGGCCUUGUACACACCGCCCGUCAAG
rnacentral:rRNA from 1 species